UACGGUUUCUGAGGGUUCUAUUCUUUCCGUGCUAGCCCUUUUUCCCUUUGGAUUCUCCUUGAUCCUAUCUGCCAGAGCUGUCUCAUGCCCCUUUUUUGCCCUUCUGAUUUCCUUUUUAAGUAUACUCCUCAAUCCCCUAUACUCCUCGAGGGAUACACCUGAACUCAGCUGUUUAUAUCAAUCCCUUGCCUCCUCCUUUUUCCUGACCAGAGCCUCAAUUUCUCUCUUCAUCCACGGUCCUUUACUCCUGCCUGCCUCAUCCUUCACUCUAACAGGAGUAUGCGUACCUUGAACUCUCAUUAUCACACUUUUGAAAGGAUCCCACUUUUCAGCCAAUUUUAAUCAUCUAUUGCCCUCAAAGAUGCACUUACCCAUUUAGAACUUUAACUUGUGGACCAGCCCUGUCCUACUUUAAAACUAAUAGAACUGUGGUUGCUGGUCCCAAAAGCCUCACCCACUGACAUUUCAGUCACUUGCCCCGCCCAUGUCCCCAA